UCUGCCAGUAAGUAGUACAUGAAAAUGAAACGAAAUGGCAGAAGUUUCAGUUGCCACCCGCGUUCAAAUCAAACCCUUUGUUUCUGCAAGCCCGCAUCUUCCAAUUUGUCGCAACAUAACAUGGAAAAUUUGUGGAGCUGUGGCAUCAUCUGAUUCCUCAUCUUCUUCUAGUUGUGGGUAUAGCAGGUAUGAUAAACAAACGAUAGAUGAUGGACAAGUAGUAUUGCCCAAGAAGAAGAAGAAGAGAAGGAGGGUGUUCUUUCUAGAUGUUAAUCCUCUGUGUUAUGCUGGAAGUAAACCCUGCUUACACUCUUUUGCUCGCUGGGUUUCCUUGUUUUUUAAGCAAGUUAGCCUCUCUGAUCCUGUUAUCGCUGUUGUUGAUGGUGAAAGAGGAAGCGAGCUCCGCCGGCAGUUGCUACCUUCAUAUAAAACGCACAGGUGGAAGUUGUUAAGACAGUUUUCAAGGGGUCAUGUUGGAAGGUCACACGGAGUCAUCAAAGAUGUUUUUACAAAAUGCAAUGUGCCUGUCAUAAAAAUAGAUGGCCAUGAAGCGGAUGAUGUUAUAGCUACUCUUGCGGAACAAGUUCUACAAAUAGGAUAUCAAGUGGUGAUUGCGUCUCCUGAUAAAGAUUUUAAGCAAUUGCUUUCAGAAGAUGUCCAAAUCGUAAUGCCCCUGGAUGAUUUAAAGCGCUGGUCCUUUUACACCCUUAAGCACUACAUGGCUCAGUAUAAUUGUGAUCCGUGCUGUGAUUUGAGCCUCAGAUGCAUUAUGGGAGAUCAAGCUGAUGGUGUUCCUGGGAUCCAACAUCUGGCUCCUGGGUUUGGUCAGAAGACUGCCCUAAAGCUCUUGAAAAAACAUGGCUCAUUGGAAAAUUUACUAAACAUAGCUUCAGUAAGAACUGUGGGCAGACAGUAUGCGCAAGAUGCUCUUACAAAGUAUGCGGAUUAUCUACGAAGGAACUAUGAGAUUCUUUCCCUUAGAAGGGAUGUCAAUGUUCAACUUAAAGAGGAGUGGCUUGUUCCAAGAGACACAAGCAAUGAUUCAAAAACUUUGUCAAACUUCUUUAAAUUCUUGGAAGAAACCGAGAAGUUCAGUCAUCAAAGUGGAUUUAUUUCAAAUGGCUAAGUUGAUAGGUAAUUUCUUCUAGCUUAGUAAGAUGCAGUUUCUCAUUUUGAUAUCAUGUCUUUUUGGGGCUAUAUAAGUUGUUCGCAUUGGACAUCUUUGUUCUUUACCAGUAAGUUAAUGUAUAUAUUUCAUUACACACCUUUUUUCUCCCCAGUAACGAAAACUAGAGCUUCACAACUCCCUGAUGAGGAAACAGGACAAUUAAUGAUUUCCUUGAAACUGUUACUAAUGUCCUUAUAAUUUUGAAAGCCUUUUUUUUUUUUUUCUUCUUUUGGUCAAAUUAUAAUUUUAGAGGUUAAAUCUAGUAACUAUUGCCUACUCUCAGUGUUUGAUAAAGAAAUAUACAUACUCCCAAAAGACACCCUCUCAAAAGCUUUUAAAUACCACAAGAUUCAUUCUACAUGUCUCCCACACCACCACUUGUUUCAGAUUGUGAAAUUUUGAACCAUGAUAGACAACUUUCAAAUUACUUCCAUAAAAAGUGAACCAAGUUCACAACAAAAGUGUUUUUCAUCUGAUGCUGGUGCAAGGCUACCAUCUACAUUGAAUUAUUGAUCAGUGGUGCGAUGGACAUGGAUGGCUAGACCCAGGCUUGGUAAUCCCAACUUUCUUUCUUCUCUUUUUUUUUUUAAUUUAAAAUUUUAUUUUAUUUUAUUUUAUUUAUUUAUUUUAUUUUUUUCAGAAACCUUCUUUAAUGCGAUCUUACAUAUUCUCAACUUGUAAUGCAUAAGAUUGUAACCCCCUGUGGAUAGAUUUGACAAUUCAGUUAUUGCAUUGUAAUUUACUUUUUCCACAUCAUUAUGAUGCUAUCUUACAGUGUAUCUUUGAUUGACUUUUCUUGCAUAUGUUUAUAUUCAACAUGAUCUUGUUGACACUCGAUAGAUAUGAAUGAAAAAAAAUUAUAGAAUUGUAAACUAACAAAAAAUGCGGCAGCGUAUUGAUUAGAAAUGUAAGAGCUCAUCAACCUUACAGUUAAGCAAAUCUGGGAAAAAAAAAAAAAAAAAAGCAACCUUAAGAGUUCAACCAAACACAAAUUUCAUACCGUCAUGUUUUGCUCUAUAGAUCUCUUGAAAUGAAGGAAUAUACAGAAAGACCGAUGCUUCUGUAAAUCUGAUGGAUUUUAGUGUAAGGUUUUCUUUUGCAGUGGCGAAUAGAAGCUUCCAAGUGAUGGAAUGCAUGCGCAAGAUACUAACAGGGCUUCAUUUUCAUUUAACUCAAAAAUUAGGAUCUACACUCAGUAAUAUGAAAAUUGUACGAAUUAUACUUGAAUUGCUGAUGAAGUUUUAAUGGUUUGAAUUCUAUAAAAUUACCUAGUACCCCAAUAGGUGAGCACAAGGUGUUCAAAGA